rfam:Apaloderma vittatum contig41003, whole genome shotgun sequence.
UAGCUCAGUCAGUUGAGUGUAGCACUAACAAUGCUAAGGUCGCAGGUUCGAUUCCCGU